CCCUUAGAUGUCCUGGGCCGCACGCGCGUUACACUGAUGCAUUCAACGAGCUUAUAACCUUGGCCGAGAGGCCUGGGCAAUCUUGUUAACGUGCAUCGUGAUAGGGAUAGAUUAUUGAAAUUAUUAAUCUUGAACGAGGAAUUCCUAGUAAACGCAGAUCAUCAAUCUGCAUUGAUUACGUCCCUGCCCUUUGUACACACCGCCCGUCGCUACUACCGAUUGAACGGUUUAGUGAGGGCCUCGGAUUGGUCUCGGCCCGCUCUUUACCGGGCGGCGCCGUUGGUCGAGAAGACGCUCGAACCUGAUCGUUUAGAGGAAGUAAAAGGCGUAACA
rnacentral:rRNA from 1 species